AGCGAACGCUGGCGGCAGGCCUAACACAUGCAAGUCGAACGAACCUUUCGGGGUUAGUGGCGGACGGGUGAGUAACACGUGGGAACGUGCCUUUAGGUUCGGAAUAACUCAGGGAAACUUGUGCUAAUACCGAAUGUGCCCUUCGGGGGAAAGAUUUAUCGCCUUUAGAGCGGCCCGCGUCUGAUUAGCUAGUUGGUUGAGGUAAUGGCUCACCAAGGCGACGAUCAGUAGCUGGUCUGAGAGGAUGAUCAGCCACAUUGGGACUGAGACACGGCCCAAACCCCUACGGGGGGCAGGAGGGGGGAAUCUUGCGAAAUGGGCGAAAGCCUGACGCAGCCAUGCCGGGUGAAUGAUGAAGGUCUUAGGAUUGUAAAAUUCUUUCCCCGGGGACGAUAAUGGCGGUACCCGGAGAAGAAGCCCCGGCUAACUUCGU
rnacentral:rRNA from 1 species